CUCCCCUCCCCACCUCCCUGCGACCCUGCCGCCGCCCUCUCUCCCCUUCUCCUCUGUCUGCCUCCCCGCCGCCACCUCCGCCUGCCUCCAACGUCCAUCCCCGCCGCCGCCGCUCCUGCUCUCCGCCGCCGCCGCACGCUCCCGUAGGAUCCAAAUCCGAUGUGGGGCGCAGCUCGGAGGAGGGGCGCAUGCCGGCAGGCCACGGCGUGGCUGCUACAACGCAUGGAGACGAGCGACGGGCGCCGUGUGCCCAGGUCGGCCCCCGCUGGACCGCGGGCCGUGUCCCCAUCGCCUUGUACACAGAGGAGGGGCGACUCGACGAGGUCGACGGUGAGGAGGUGGCGUGGGCACGGGAGAGCGUGCCGGUGGAGCUCCUCGACGUGCUACGGAAGGCCAAGCACAACACCGUCAGGCUCCGUGCGCUGCAGCGAACGUCGUCGAGCUUGGGAGGAUGUUCAAGGUCUUAAACGACCUCAGGGCGUCACGCGCGGUGUCCCCCAUCUCCCUCCCUCUCCUGCUCCCCGUCGCCGCCCUCUCUAUCUCUCUCUCCCUCUCUGUUCUCCUCCUUUCCCCUUCUCCUGGUCAGUGAUGGUCAAUCACCAGCGGUUCCCAGUGGGCAGCUUCGCAUUGGCCAUGGCUCACGCACACCACUUUUUCUCCUCCCCUGCUGGCAACGCAAUAGCAGCCUUUGUUGCAGUCCUAUGAUCUACUCAAGCCUGCUUCUUCUUUUGCUGCAAGGUGUUAGAUCUGAUGAUGGAAAUAUGAUUUAAUUUGGGAAGGGAAGAAAUCGGGUGAGAUAUUUGUUAGAUAUUUGUUGUUAUUCUGCCAUCUUUUCCCGCAACACUUGCCUGACCAAAUGUUCUUGGAGUAUAAAUUGAUGAUGCAUCAUUAAAUGGAGAACUCUAAAAUAUUUUGUUCCUGCUAUAGAACUUUUUGGUGAUCAAGAGUGAAGGUUUCUUAUGAUUGUUUUCUCAUGCUGCAUCAGGAGUGGAAUUAUCAUGCUAUAAUAAUUGUUUUCUCUUGAUUACAGUGGAUGAUUGAUUCAAGUUCUUUAGCACUUGUUUUUAGACCAGAGCAGGUGAGAUGCCGAUGACCAGAGCAGGUGACAUGCCUUUCUACUAAAAUGGUUAUGUGCAGGGCGUCAGAUUUGCUGAACAUUCAGUUAGAGGCCUUUCGCAGUGAAACCUUCCAUAUUUUUUUAUUAGCUACUCGGGAUAACUGCAUAGGUUUGUUCUACCUAUAGCAUAGGAUCUAAAAUAUUGCCGUGUGGUUUGAGCUUUAAUACUCGUUCUGUUUGUCAUGAUAAUUCUUGAUCUGCUACCUUAUUUAAUUCUACUAUGUUUUAUCAAACUUUUUCUAAAGUCAAGUGGUUAUUUAUUUUCUAAUGAAACAGAUUUCCAAACCUUUUUGUGUAAUCUGUGAAAAUUUACCACUAAUGUUUAAAUAUAUGAGAUCACUCUCAUAUGUAAGAUCUGUUACAAAACCUCUGUAAAUCUGUCCUUGUUACAAAUAAGCAAAAAGAAUCAUAAAUGCACUAUCUAAUCUUAAUGAUAUGUUUGGACCAUAUUGCAUCAAGUCAUGUUUGGACCAUAUAAAUGAUUUUUGCUCUGUGCACUGGUAGUAAUGGUGAGAGGGUGUUGAUGCAUACAGCGCCUACUAGAAUAAGCUUUCUUGUUCCUAGAUCAGUGAUAUAUGGCCUCUUGUGGGCUCUGGCAGGUGUACCAGCAUGCGAGGAUCACACUUGGUUACCUCUAGCCUAUUCAUUAUAGGUGCCAAUCUUAGUUUCAGUUGGGGAAAAUGGCAUAGUAUUAAUAAUUGGAUAUCACAAAAGCCUUGCUGAAAGAUAAUUAUUUACUUUCUAAUAUUUGCAUGUUCUGCUGUGUUGAUUUACUCUUCUGCUCAUAAUCAUGUUUCAUUUGCUAUGAGUAGAUGUAUGUAGUUUUGAAUGAAAAAUAGAUAUCUGAACAACAAGAGGAAGAUGUAAGCAGUGUAUCUGAAGUGCUAUUAAUUAAAAAGGAAAAAACAUUCUUUCUCUUGAGUCACUAUAAAUGGUGAGCUUUUUAUCUUGGUCCUAUCUUAAAUAUGUCUUGUUUCAAAGGCUGUAAACA